rnacentral:rRNA from 1 species
GACGAACGCUGGCGGCGUGCUUAACACAUGCAAGUCGAACGGAAAGGCCCCUCUCGUGGGGUGUGCUCGAGUGGCGAACGGGAGUGAAACACGUGUGUAACCUGCCCUUGACUGUGGGAUAUCUUCAGGACACUGGCUCAUAUACCGGAUAGGAGCUCCUUCCGCGGGGUGGGGGUUGGAAAGUCUGGGCGGUUGGGGAUGGACUCGCGGCUUAUCAGCUUGUGGGUGGGGUAGUGGUUUACCAGGUCUUUGACGGGUAGCCGGCCUGAGAGGGUGACCGGCCACAUUGGGAUUGAGAUACGGCCCAGACUCCUACGGGAGGCAGCAGUGGGGAAUAUGCAACAAUGGGCGGAGGCCUGAUCAAGAACGGCCGCGGGCGGGAUACCGGCCUUCGGGUGUAAACCCGCUUUCGCCAGGAACGAACCGUGUGUGACGGUAAUGGGUAAAGAAGCACCGGCUAACUACGUG